AACCUACCUUCAAGUGGGGAAUAACUGCCAGAAAUGGCAGCUAAUACCGCAUGUGGCUAGCUGGUGGCAUCACCGGCUAACUAAAGAUUUAUCGCUUGGAGACGGCCUCGCGGCCUAUUAGCUUGUUGGUGGGGUAAUGGCCUACCAAGGCGAUGAUGGGUAGCUGGUCUGAGAGGACGAUCAGCCACACUGGGACUGAGACACGGCCCAG
rnacentral:rRNA from 1 species